UGGUGACUGUUGACAACACAACUUCUCUGACCCAAGACUCUACACUCUUCAGAGUAGGGGUGAAGGCACAUCAGCGACCAGACAAGGAGUCAUGAAGAGACAGCGGGGAGCCCUGCUGGGGCUUCUGUGGGUGCAGGUUUGCUGGGUGAGAGGGAUGGACGUGGAGCAGACACCUGCAGCCCUGAGCCUCCAGGAGGGAGCCAGCUCUACCCUGAGGUGCAAUUUUUCCAGCUCGGUGAACAAUGUGCAGUGGUUCCGACAGAACCCUGGGGGCGGCGGCCUCACCCGACUGUUUUACAUAGUUUCAGGGAUGAAGCAGGAUGGGAGGUUGAACUGCACGGUGAACACUAAGGACCGGCACAGCAGCCUGCACAUCAGGGCCUCCCAGCAGGAAGACUCAGCCACCUAUCUGUGUGCUGUGGAGGCACAGUGCUCCCUGCUGCUCUGCAGCCUGUCCCCAAACUGCAGCUGGGCUCCCAGCCCAGGCUCCUCCACCAGGAAGCCUCCCUUGUGCAGCCGCAUUUGCACAGCGUGCUUGGGACCAUCUGGGGCUUUGAAGGCUCAAAGCUGGUGGCGAUUGGGAUCCUCCUUGAACCAUCUUUGGUCUCCCAGAAGAAAAGAAAACCCAAAGAGGAUCUUACCCUGAAGACUCUGUCUCUGCUUCUGAAGAGGCCCUAGCAUUGGUUAGGAGCAACCUCAGACCCACAAGAUCACAUGUGGUUGUGGAAACGGGCUUGGGGUUCCAUGAUUCAGGCAAUUUCUCCUCACACUCACAUCAGUCCAUACUGCUCACAGCCAGUCCUCAAAAGACUUGCUUUGUUAUAUAGUACAAAAGAAAUUUAGAACUGGAAGAGCCCUUAGAAGGGCUUAGUCCACUUCAUUUUACAAAACAAAGGCUGUACCCAAGAUGGUACCAUGGAACAAUUAGGUUGUCAGUGAGCUGGGAGAGAAAGAAACUGAGUUUCCUCACUUCCUCUUUGGCAUUCUCCCCACUGCCUCCUUGCUGCAGGGCCAUCCUGCUGGGUAAAGAGAUUGUGUCUAAUGCAAGCCCAGCCACUUAUAUCUCUGCAGUUUGGGUCUGGGAGAGCCAUGGUCCAAUCAGUUUGAUUGCCUGAAUGGAGAGUUGCAAUUUGUGUAAAUAUCUGACACUUUGGGCAGGAAAAAGAACUCAGGCUGAGCCACUGUUAUUCUACCUGCAAACUUACUUAUUCCUCACUGGUUUCUGGAGGUGAAAGCCAAGGAUGAUUGUGUCAACUGAACACCUCCAUGCAUUUCUAAGGACUUUCCUAAAAAUAGCAGAUAUAUUUAUAUCCCAGGUGGACAUCUCUUGAAGGCAAAAUGUGAAUAUAGAGCAUCACUAAUACAUUGUUAUGAAAUGUAAUCACUGCAUUGGGAGACUACGGGGGAAUAUCGUCCUCAUGCAGCUGGCCAUCCAUGAAUGUACUAGAAAAAGCCUUGCUAGGUCUACACUUUUUGAUGAUGAGUCAGGCAACAUUCAAUGAAAUAAUCACGGG